AUUGAACGCUGGCGGCAGGCUUAACACAUGCAAGUCGAACGAGUGGCGGACGGGUGAGUAAUGCUUGGGAAUCUAGCUUAUGGAGGGGGAUAACUACGGGAAACUGUGGAUACAACCGCGUACCAUAGGAUGAGCCCAAGUGGGAUUAGGUAGUUGGUGGGGUAAAGGCUCACCAAGCCGACGCUUCCUAGCUGGUCUGAGAGGAUGACCAGCCACACUGGGACUGAGACACGGCCCAGACUCCUACGGGAGGCAGCAGUGGGGAAUAUUGCACAAUGGACGAAAGCCUGAUGCAGCCAUGCCGCGUGUAUGAAGAAGGCCUUAGGGUUGUAAAGUACUUUCAGCGGGGAGGCGUUACCCGCAGAAGAAGCACCGGCUAACUCCGUGCCAGCCGCCGCGGUAAUAC
rnacentral:rRNA from 1 species